rnacentral:rRNA from 1 species
AGUGGCAAACGGGUGAGUAACGCGUAGACAACCUGCCGUAAAGAUGGGGUCAACAGUCCGAAAGGACUGCUAAUACCGAAUGUUGUGGAACUUCCGCAUGGGAGCUCUACUAAAGAUGGCCUCUACUUGUAAGCUAUCGCUUUACGAUGGGUCUGCGUCUGAUUAGCUAGUUGGUGGGGUAACGGCUUACCAAGGCGACGAUCAGUAGCCGGUCUGAGAGGAUGAACGGCCACAUUGGAACUGAGACACGGUCCAGACUCCUACGGGAGGCAGCAGCGGGGAAUCUUCCGCAAUGGGCGCAAGCCUGACGGAGCAACGCCGCGUGAGUGAAGAAGGGUUUCGACUCGUAAAGCUCUGUUGUCGGGGACGAAUGUGGAGAUGGUGAAUAACCAUUUCCAAUGACGGUACCUGACGAGGAAGCCACGGCUAACUACGUGCCAGCAGCCGCGGUAAUACGUAGGUGGCGAGCGUUGUCCGGAAUUAUUGGGCGUAAAGGGAGCGCAGGCGGGAGAUCAAGUCUAUCUUAAAAGUGCGGGGCUCAACCCCGUGAGGGGAUGGAAACUGGUCUUCUUGAGUGCAGGAGAGGAAAGCGGAAUUCCUAGUGUAGCGGUGAAAUGCGUAGAUAUUAGGAGGAACACCAGUGGCGAAAGCGGCUUUCUGGACUGUAACUGACGCUGAGGCUCGAAAGCGUGGGGAGCGAACAGGAUUAGAUACCCUGGUAGUCCACGCCGUAACGAUGAAUGCUAGUGU